AAGUGGAGCAAUCCAUGAGUAAAGUGGCGACCGGGUGAGUAACACGUGACUAACCUACCUUCGAGUGGGGGAUAACAUCGGGAAACCGAUGCUAAUACCGCAUAACAUCGCAAGAUCAAAGCAGCAAUGCGCUGGAAGAGGGGGUCGCGGCUGAUUAGCUAGUUGGCGGGGUAACGGCCCACCAAGGCGAAGAUCGGUAGCCGGCCUGAGAGGGCGCACGGCCACACUGGAACUGAAACACGGUCCAGACUCCUACGGGAGGCAGCAGUGGGGAAUUUUGCGCAAUGGGGGAAACCCUGACGCAGCAACGCCGCGUGGAGGAUGAAGCCCCUUGGG
rnacentral:rRNA from 1 species